UACAAAAGGAACAAGUUUGUGGGGGAAGAAAAGGAGUUCAGCAUUGGUUGAGAUGCCUGUAUGGAAAUAUCAAGUAAAAAGUUGGCCGGGUGUGAUGGUUCAUGCCUGUUAACUCAAACACUUUGGGAGGCUGAGGCAGGAGGAACACUUGAGCCCAAAAGGUUAAGGCUGUAGUGACCUGUGAUCUUGACACUGCACCCCAGCCUGGGUGACAGAGUGAGACCCUCUUUCAAA